UACGUAGGGUGCGAGCGUUAAUCGGAAUUACUGGGCGUAAAGCGUGCGCAGGCGGUUAUGUAAGACAGGUGUGAAAUCCCCAGGCUUAACCUGGGAACUGCAUUCGAGACUGCAUUGCUAGAGUAUGGGAGAGGGAAGUGGAAUUCCCGGUGUAGCAGUGAAAUGCGUAGAGAUCGGGAGGAACAUCUGUGGGCGAAGGCGA
rnacentral:rRNA from 1 species